GCAAUCUUGGGCAGACUGAUGUUGGUGGACAGACUGCAGGAGGAAGAGAGGAUCCUGGUGCAGGAGAUGAAGAAGCACUGGGGGUGCCUACAAAGAGCAGCAGGAACUCUAGAGGCACUGUCCCUACAGCUGCAAUAUCAGAGCAAUGCAGUGGAGAUGUUGGAGGGAGGGAGGAAUGGCCUUCUCUGCCUCCUGAAGAGAAGAUUGAGUGAACUGACACAAAACACCAGGAACACCUACCACAAGCUGAUUCUGGGAGAAAGGGCUAUUUUUGAUGACUCUGAUGUAGAUUAAUACUCAGAUAUAAGUCUUAUUCCUAAAAGUCCUAUUGCUGAGAGCUCAGAUGACAACUGCUAUGUUUUCUGAAAUCAUACACCACCUCUACCUCUGUCUCUCUGUCUCGCUCUCUCCCGCAGGAGAGGGAGAAAGCAGCCACCACCUCCCUCGGGAGCAGCCUGGUCUUCCGACAUUGACCCCUGAUCCCUCACCUUCUGAACCCAUCCAGGGGAAUGUCAUUUGCCUGAUGAUGUGCUAGUGGAGAAGGAAUGUGUCAUUUCAGUGCAUUUGUGGCCAUAGUUCCUCACCUCCUCGACUCCGUUUCUUCCGGUCCUAGAGGAUGGCGACAUCAGAAUGUCGGUUGAGGACCUCUUUACUGAGGAAUGUGGUUGAUCUUCAUGAUUGUUUUAUUUCAAAUUUCUUAGAGUAUUUUCUAUGCAGCUGUGAUUGUGAUUUUGUGGAGUGAGUUGCAAAAGAGUCCUUGGUCUCAAUGGAACUGUAAAAAUAACUAAAUAAAUGCAUUAACCACUAA